AGGAUCAUUACUGAGUGAGGGUCCCUCGGGGCCCAACCUCCCACCCGUGUAUACCGUACCUUGUUGCUUCGGCGAGCCCGCCCCCUUUUUCUUUUAGGGGGCACAGCGCUCGCCGGAGACACCAACGUGAACACUGUCUGAAGUUUUGUCGUCUGAGUCGAUUGUAUCGCAAUCAGUUAAAACUUUCAACAAUGGAUCUCUUGGUUCCGGCAUCGAUGAAGAACGCAGCGAAAUGCGAUAAUUAAUGUGAAUUGCAGAAUUCAGUGAAUCAUCGAGUCUUUGAACGCACAUUGCACCCCCUGGUAUUCCGGGGGGUAUGCCUGUCCGAGCGUCAUUGCUGCCCUCAAGCACGGCUUGUGUGUUGGGUCGUCGUCCCCCCCCAGGGGGACGGGCCCGAAAGGCAGCGGCGGCACCGCGUCCGGUCCUCGAGCGUAUGGGGCUUUGUCACCCGCUCUUGUAGGCCCGGCCGGCUGCUGGCCGACGCUGAAAAGCAACCAACUAUUUUUCCAGGUUGACCUCGGAUCAGGUAGGGAUACCCGCUGAACUUAAGCAUAUCAAUAAGCGGAGGAAAAGAAACCAACCGGGAUUGCCUCAGUAACGGCGAGUGAAGCGGCAAGAGCUCAAAUUUGAAAUCUGGCCCCCUCGGGGUCCGAGUUGUAAUUUGCAGAGGAUGCUUCGGGUGCGGCCCCCGUCUAAGUGCCCUGGAACGGGCCGUCAUA
rnacentral:rRNA from 1 species